AACUUUUGACAACGGAUCUCUUGGUUCUCCCAUCGAUGAAGAACGCAGCGAAAUGCGAUAAGUAAUGUGAAUUGCAGAAUUCAGUGAAUCAUCGAAUCUUUGAACGCACCUUGCGCUCGUUGGUAUUCCGACGAGCAUGCCUGUUUGAGUGUCA
rnacentral:rRNA from 1 species